rnacentral:misc_RNA from 1 species
AAACUGCGAUAAGUAGUGUGAAUUGCAUUUAGUGAAUCAUCGAAUCUUUGAACGCACCCUGCACUCACUGGUAUUCCGGUGAGUACGCCUGUUUCAGUAUCAUUGAAAACACACAAUCAAAACAUUUUCUUUGGUUUGAUUGGCUUUGGGUCUAUCAAAAAGUUUGGCUUGUUUCUUACAAGCCAAGCGGCCUGAAAUAUAUUGUCUGGCUAAUUGCAUCGUUGAUGAUCGCUAUUAGACUUUGGCUUUUUUAAAUGAACUGGAGGUUGAUUAACCAGUUUUAGCAUUAGUCAAAUGGUCAUUGUAAAAAAAAUCUCGAUCUUGGCUAGGUGUUUAUAGCCGAAAAUUUUUUUUUGGCUAUAACCGAAACCAAUAUAAUCACAUUUAGUUAUCGAUCUGAAAUCAGGUGGGACUACCCGCUGAACUUAAGC